UCUGUAAAAGAAAGAAAAUUCUUGUUUUCUUCUAAUUCUUCUGUUCUCUUCCUUUCUCUCGUCUUAACUCUAAAACCCCAUGAAUCAGUGAGAGUCAGAGGGUGAAUUUUUAAGCGUUUGCUGUUUUAGAUCCUUGAUUUGAAGUACAGUGGAGUUUGAAGAAUAAGGAUGCAAAUGGGAUAUCUGGUUGUGAAUGAGCGAUUGAGAGUUUGGAGCUAGCUUGAUGUAGUAAGCUGAGAAAAGCUUACGACGUGGAGCUAUGGACACAAUGCAGUAUAUAUUGUUGUCCUCGUAUAUAUAUAUAUAUAUCAUGGGCUGUUUUGGGGUAGUUUCAUAUGGGAACUGAACUAUGUUUUCAUUUCAUGUUUUGCUAUGUAUAAACUAUGGUACGAUUUUUAGAUGUAUACGAGAUUGUGUUUAGAACUUCUUCCUUGUAAAGUUCCAAUCUAAUGCAGACGUCCCUAUACAGUAUAUACAUUCUAAUCCUUAAGGAAAAUUUAUUUGAAUGUAGAUUCCCAA